UAAGUGAACCGGUAGAUUUAAAAAUUGCGCCAACGAUCGAACUCAACCACUGAAUGGAUGACGUGCGACUAUGUUCAACACAUUAUAACUCACGAUUGAACGGAGUGAUUAUCUGUAAGAUUUUGUAAACUAUGUUGUUAAAUGUUGUACUAAAUUGUCCAUUUGUAGAUCCUUCGAAAAAGGCUCAAUACAUGUAGCCGAAACGUCAGGUGUAGAGCAUAAAUCCGUUUAUGAUUACGCGAAGACUGAAAGCCGAAAAUACCCGUAACAUAA